rnacentral:rRNA from 1 species
GUCCACGCCGUAAACGAUGUCAACUAGCCGUUGGGAGCCUUGAGCUCUUAGUGGCGCAGCUAACGCAUUAAGUUGACCGCCUGGGGAGUACGGCCGCAAGGUUAAAACUCAAAUGAAUUGACGGGGGCCCGCACAAGCGGUGGAGCAUGUGGUUUAAUUCGAAGCAACGCGAAGAACCUUACCAGGCCUUGACAUCCAAUGAACUUUCCAGAGAUGGAUUGGUGCCUUCGGGAACAUUGAGACAGGUGCUGCAUGGCUGUCGU